AUGAGUGGGGCCUGUAGUCGGGCUCCCCGGAGCCUCCGCAGGUCAGGACACGAGUCAGACACCUCUGCUCCCCAAGAACCCCACGUUCCUGCCACUCAGGGCUGCGGGCAGGGUGUCCUGGCCAAAGCCUCCAUCCAGGCCCCCCUCGUCUUCCCCUUGGCCACCUGCUGCAAAGGCACCAUCGCCACUGCCCCGUCCGUGACACUGGGCUGCCUGGUCACGGGCUACUUCCCGAUGCCGGUGACCGUGACCUGGGAUGCAGGGUCCCUGAACAAGAGCGUCGUGACCCUCCCCGCCACCCUCCAGGAGACCUCUGGCCUCUACACCACCACCAGCCACGUGACCGUCUGGGGCGAGUGGGCCAAACAGAAGUUCACCUGCAGUGUGGCUCACGCGGAGUCCCCCACCAUCAACAAGACCGUCAGCGCGUGUGCCAUGAACUUCAUUCCCCCCACCGUGAAGCUCUUCCACUCCUCGUGUGACCCCCUCGGUGACACCCGUAGCACCAUCCAGCUCCUGUGCCUCAUCUCCGGCUACGUCCCAGGUGACAUGGAGGUCACCCGGCUGGUGGAUGGGCAGAAGGCCACGAACAUGUUCCCGUACGCUGCCCCCGGCAGGCAGGAGGGCAAGGUGACCUCCACCCACAGCGAGCUCAACAUCACGCAGGGCAAUCAGGUGCUUUUGCUUUUCUGUACGGCACAAAGACUUCUUUUAAUAAAUAGAUUUUGUUUUUUAGCACAGAGCUCAGCCACAAGGAGCCACAUGUGCCUGGGGCCAGAGCCGGAAGGGCCGAGGUGCUGGGGCCAGCCUUCCAUCGCCCCAGCCCUUGCCUCCACCACGCCCCCAUCGGUGUUCCCACUGGUCUCCAGCUGCGGGACCACAUCUGGCUCCACCGUGGCCCUGGCCUGCCUGGUGUUAGACUACUUCCCUGAGCCCGUGACCGUGUCCUGGAACUCCGGCGCCCUGACCAGCGGUGUGCACACCUUCCCGUCCGUCCUGCAGGCCUCGGGGCUCUACUCUCUCAGCAGCAUGGUGACAGUGCCCUCCAGCAGGUGGCUCAGUGAGACCUUCACCUGCAACGUGGCCCACCCGCCCAGCGGCACCAAGGUGGACAAGACCGUGCCCAAACCCUGCGACUGUCCCAAAUGCCCAGUUCCUGAGAUUCCUGGGGGACCGUCCGUCUUCAUCUUCCCCCCAAAACCCAAGGACACCCUCUCGAUUUCCCGGACGCCCGAGGUCACGUGCUUGGUGGUGGACUUGGGCCCAGAUGACUCCAAUGUCCAGAUCACAUGGUUUGUGGAUAACACCGAGAUGCACACAGCCAAGACGAGGCCGCGUGAGGAGCAGUUCAACAGCACCUUCCGUGUGGUCAGUGUCCUCCCCAUCCUGCACCAGGACUGGCUCAAGGGGAAGGAGUUCAAGUGCAACGUCAACAGCAAAGCCCUCCCCUCCCCCAUCGAGAGGACCAUCUCCAAGGCCAAAGGACAGCCCCACGAGCCCCAGGUGUACGUCCUGCCUCCAGCCCAGGAGGAGCUCAGCAGGAACAAAGUCAGUGUGACCUGCCUGAUCGAAGGCUUCUACCCGCCUGACAUUGCCGUCGAGUGGGAGAUCACCGGAGAGGAAGAGCCAGAGGACAACUACCGGACGACCCCGCCCCAGCUGGACAGCGACGGGACCUACUUCCUGUACAGCAGGCUCUUGGUGGACAAGUCCCGCUGGCAGACGGGAAACACCUACACCUGCUCGGUGUCACACGAAGCUCUGCACAGCCACCACACACAGAAAUCCCUCACCCAGUCUCCGGGUAAAUGAGCAGCGCGCCCGGCCCCCCAGCAGGCCCCCGCGGGCUCUGAGCGCCCACCCCUGUGUACAUCACCCCCCGGGCAGGCACCCUGCGUGAAAUAAAGCACCCAGCACUGCCCUGGGACCUGUGA